AGAUGGCUACCUCCAGAGUAGGUCAAGUGGGUGCAGCCCAGCCACUAGCUCUGUCCAGCUAGCCAAAUGCUCCAAGUGAUCACCUCAAACACCAGGAAUGGAGAAGUCGGCAGAGUAAAGUGGGCAGGACAUGUGACCACCACGCUGAAGAGAACAGACAUCUUCAGGAGUUGAGAGAAAGCCCCAGGACAGAAGACCAGGCUGUGAUGCCCACCGGGAACCAAAGGCAGCUCUUCCAGGCUGUUCUGUGGGAACUGCAUUGCAGCCUCUUGGCCUCCCGCUGCCUAUACAUCUCUAUCUGGCUGCCAGGCCUACCACAGGCUAGAGAUGGAAGCCUGAAGAUGCAUUGCCCCAGCUAACCUGAGAGGGACCCUGUCCUCAGCCCUCUGCAUAUGAAGGCUGGACUUGGAAGACCUCAGAGACCUGCCACGCCCCUUGGACGAAGGUGGUGUCUACACUCCCUCCCCUGCACCAGUCUCCAGGGAACCUGUUUCCCGGGCCGAGCAGGCAGAGCAGGCCCUGGCCCGCCCAGCUCUGCUGGCUCAGAUUUCCUUACUUUCUGGUUUUCUCAUCUCCCCUGCCCCAGGCGCCACUGCCUGCUCUUUCUCGCCCAGCCCCCACCCCCGGAACUGGAACCAGUGAGGGGGAGAAUUGGGAAGGGGCCUGAGAAGGGGAGUGGGGCAGCCGGUUGGGCAGCACCAGGAGGGGGAGGCAGUGAGGAGUCACCCCUGGCCCAGGGCCAGGAUGAGGUUUGGUUCAACCUCCUGCCCAGUCUGCCCCAGAGGCUGGCUAGGAGCCGAUCAAAAGCUGGAAUGACCCACCUCCCUGGCGGUUCACCAGCCUUUCUGCCCCUGUUCCCUUCACUAGGAAUGUUCUUCCCAGCUGGCUAUGCCAGUUAGUGUCCUGCACUUCCUCCAGGACUGAGCCUGGGUCAUCCCUUUCAUCCAUUAACAUGGGACUCAGGUUCCCUCCUCAAGUCGGCUCGGUUCCUCUUACUAGGAACCUCUCAGGCAUCCCUAGCCUCUUCCAGAACCUCUGGACUCUCAUUUCUGGAGCCAUCCCACAUGUGGGAUCUAGAAUCUAGAUCUAGAUUCUAGAAUGCAUCUAGAAUGUCUUUCCAGUUUCCUUCUAGAUCCCUCAGGUCCCUGGGCAGAGUACCCAGAAAGCCAGUCCUUAGUGAUGGUUGAAUCGGAGCUUCCUGGGGUCAUCCAAAUACUAGGAAAUCCUAAACUCGGCACAUUCUUUAGACCAGAGAACUAUCAGCAGCGGCUGCCCAAGUGAGUUCAGUGUGAAUAUUACAGAGACAGACACACAGGACUAAGAUCCUUGCUUGUUAUCCUUUCAUUCUCUCUCUCUCUCUCUCUCUCUGUGUGUGUGUGUAUGUGUGUGUGUGUGUGUGUGUGUGUGUGUGUGUGUGUGUGUGUGUGUGUGUUGGUAAGGAAAGUGGAGCUGAGAGGACCUAAGCUCGCUGGCUUUGAAGUGACCCAUGACUCAGGGCCAUCCUGAGCAUAUCCUGUUUAGACAGGGGCCAUGUAGCCCUCCUGCAACCCAUCAGGUCUGGCCAGCCUUCAUGGGGAGCCAAGAGCCAGGCCUAGAACUCCAUCCCUACCUAGCUCUGCAGAGCCACACCCCCAGCAAGAGUUGGUGUGCAGAACUCAGUGUUCCUCUGCUCCCAUGGCACAGACAUCUCCUCUGAGAACCUGGUCAGGGAUGAUGGGACAGACAGCAAAGCAAUGGGCCUGCUGAGGACACCUGCCACUCUCCUAAUCCUGGCCUUGCCUGCUCUGUGGGCAGUUCUUCCUUCCAACAGCUCAGGCCCAAAGCCUAAGCUAGUCUGGAUUCUCACGGUUGCAAAGACUUUCAGCUUCACCUUUAAAGUGUGCAAAAUGCUAGGCGAGCACAGGUUACCUCUCUGACCACCAGGUAAGCACAGAUUACCUCUGACCAUGACUUGUUUAGUAGCCACAGCUACCACCUCCAAGGCUGGCUUCACCUCGUAUCUGACUCUGUGAAGGCCUCCUCCCUCAUUCCCCCUGUUUCAAUUCCUUCCUCCUACAAGCUUUCAGGGUAAGGUAGGUGCAAGGUCACGUUUCUUUGCUUACCCAAAGGUCUCCAUGGCUCCUACUUUGUUGAAAGUCAAAUCCAAGUUGGACAUAGUAGCACACACCUAUAAUGCUAGACUCAGGAGAAGCAAAGAGCUGUCUCCCUCUGGUUGUCCUUGAGGAGGAGGGGGGUAGGAAAGCUGUCUUAAGGGGGUUGUCUCUGUCUCAGUCUGUCCCUACCUCUCUGACUCCUGUCCUCCUAGCUACAACCUUCUCCUUCCACACCUGGGCCCUCCCAGCCUUGGGGCCUGCAUAAUUCUUCCUCGAAGACACCUGCAUGUGCUCACCCUUACUGACUUGUGCCCUGCGCCUGCCUCCUCAGCGGUCCCCUUCUGACCAUGAUGCUCCCUUUCCCCCUUGCCCUCCCCUCUCCUUUUCUCCUCCCAACAUCCCUGUUUUCAUGGUCAGUGGUUAGUCUGCCCCAAGAGGGCAGGCAGGUAGGUCCCUUUGUAAGUUGCUUCUCCAGAUAGUGAGUGAAAGACCCAGCUGGGUUGAGGGUGCUCCAUGUUCUGAUCACGGGCAGGGAGCUGCCUUCCCAACCUUGGGACCUCUCCUAGCACCGGGGUGGGGAUAGGCAAAGAAGGGGACUUGUUCAAUGCUUCAUCCAUAAGAACUGGUCUCAGGAGAAACACUCCCAAAAGCAGCAGCUGCAGCGGCUAGGACUCAGGGUGGAUUCUGUUCCGCCUCUACAAAGCAGAGUCCUAGCAGAGACAUUUGUACUGUGAGCUUUCUAGGGACAGACACAGUGGCAGAGGUGGACCUCAGGGCUAGGAGAGACCCCAGCGGCUGACUGACAAAGUGGACCAUGGCAGCCUGUGGUCUUGUGAGGUUUCUGGCUACCUCCCAGGACAGCAUCUGCUGUGCACACUCCCUCCAUGUGUCUGUGUGGCCCCGUCCUGGGGGAGGGGGGCCCAAGGAGGGUUCUGCAGCCAGGCUUGCAAGCUGGAAUCUGGACUUACUUAGUUCCAAAUGACUGGGGAAUGUCCCUUCCGUGACAGUGGUGGCGGCGGUGGCGUGCCCUCCCCCUCCAGUCCCUCUCUCCCAGCAGGGGAGUGGGGCCCAGAUGAAGGCAGCCCCCCAUAGGGCUAGUGCACAGACACUGGGCAUCAAGCCAUCAUGCCUUCCUCCUAAGGCCUGGCUGCAGGUCAUCCUAGAGGAGGGAUUGCAAUUUAAGUUCACCGUCCCUUCUCUACCUCCAGAGAGCUGAGCCCAGAGCAUCCCAAUUAGAUCCCUAGCCUCCUUGAUCAUGGAAUCUGAGAGGCUUCCGCCAGCAAGUCCUCUGAGAUACCACAGCAAUAGGAUGGGCCUACCAGGAACGCUGCUCCUAGAAAAACCUCCCCUUUAUAGGAAUGUAGCCUUCGUGCUCUUGGAGGAUGCCGGGGCACCAGGUUCAAUGCCAGGCACAUGCGCAGGGAGCUAACUCAACCCUGGGCUCACUCUGUCCAGAGAGCUGGCUCUCCAUGCUCUAUGUAGUUGCCACGCCAAGUGGAGACCUUUCUGUCCAGGCAGGGCUUGGUGUUCAAGCAUGACUGGGAAGAGUGGAGACCUGCACCUUUUGUGGUCUCCAGCCCUUCAUCCAAGGGUGGGGGAGGGAGCCUCCAUUGUAUUUUUUGGAGAUCUGUGGAGUCCUACGGACAGGCCUUGAACUUACUUUGGCUGUACCUCAUUAUAUAUCCAUAGAACGGCAA